ACAUAAAAAAACUCACCGGAACGCAUCCUGCCCACCCCGGCGACUUGUACAAGCGCUUAGGAACCGGGGGGGCGACCCAGGCGACUGCCCGGCCAUAACAUUUCAUGGCCGGGCAAAGUGAUGGUAUUGCCCGGCCAUUACAUCAGAUGAACAAGAGGCAUUGUCUUCAUUGCAAUGCUAAGUGGUUUUGUGGGAUUUUCUUGUCUGUGCGUUACUUUAUUCUUAAAAUAAAUUAAGACUUUUCGAUAAGUGUACAGGCACAAUAAAUAAGACAACUGUUCUUGUUUUGUUCUAAAUAUUCACGUUUCACAGUGCUGAUAGCGGAAAUAUUAUUGUGGGAUAUAAGACCAGUAUUUUUUCCGCUCGUUGCUUCCGCUCCGUUUUUGUCCACCCUUGUCUACUUGACCUUCAGACCCUUGCAUUCACCCCGCCUCGUUUCUAUCUAAUGGUAACGACCUGACGUGCAGAGCGCUUUCCACAUCAGUCAUCAUUCAACAGCUGUACGUCUUGCUUUUAAGUCCAAGAAACUUUGUGUACAGAACUGUUUAUAAUAAACUUAUUUAUCUGUAGUAUCGUGAGUGAGUAGUGCGGAAUGGCAGUGAUGAAAAACAUUUAGGGUUUAAGGAGAAAAUUUAUAACAGUAUUUUAAUUUUUGCGGCGUACAAUGACUCAGAAAAGCAUCAACCUUUUCUUCAACAACCGUUCUGAACAGUCCUGCAGUUGAUCACAACCACCGCCUAAAAAUCAGUGCACAUUAGGCUGUAAUGCCUUUGAAGACAAAGAUCCUAAAGAAGAGUUGGAUUCCUUUAACUCAGGGCUCGGUGGCGGCCAGCGAGUCGAGCAGGCGCCGGUACUCGUCGGGACCCAGCGGCGGCAGCUCGUCGGGGCCGGCGUCCCGGCGGCGACGGCGGCGACGCGCGCCCUGCGUGGUCACCUCGACGCACAGCACGGCCAAGCGGCCGUCGCACGGGUGGCGCUCCUGGGCCAGCAGGCGGCCCGAGGCCAGCGGCGAGGCCAGCCCCAGCUUGUCCGGGCUGGCCGAGUUCCAGGAGUCGCAGUACGUGUCCAGCGCGCGCUCGCCGAACGGGUGGGAGCCGUGCCACACCAUCUUCCUGGGCCUGCGGGGCGAGCGUCAUCACCUUUGCUUGGGUAUUCACAUUCAGUACUACACCAUACACUGUAUAAUCUACUUCCCAGCUUCUUUAUUAAGAACGAGUCUUCUCAGCAGCAGCAGCAGCAGACCCUUACUCACAACAGGACUGCCAUCCGGUACCAACCACAGCCUGGCUGUGAAUCUUCCUACACUAGUGAUUCUUACAUUAAUGAGAGAAUGCGAAAAUGUUGUCUUGUGAUAAAAAGUAUAUAACGUCAUGGAAGACCAACCAAAUAAACAAAUUACUUAAAGAUAAUAUUGGAUGUCAAUAGGAACAAGAAAAAUAGCUAAAUAAAUGUUUGAAAUUUUUUUGAUGUGUUUGUACAUAGAAAUGCUAUACACGACAGAACUUCAAUAAUACAGUGGUAAUAUGUAAUGUGUAGGGUAAGAACUGAUUAAAUCAUAACAAAUUAAUAUAUUAUUUAAAAAAGAGAAAAUUGGUUCAAGUUUAAAUGGGAAAUCCACUUGAAGUACACAUUAUGCACAAAAACUUAACAGGAUAAUGACACAUGAAUAAUUUGAUUGUAGGAGUGUAACACAUCCAUAGUUAGGAUUCCUAGAUGCAUUAGAGUAAUUAUAUUAUUGAUUGCAAGAACUUAUAUUUGUAAUAAGUUAACUACUUGUAGGUAGUAUAUCAGUGGUGAUGCGUAACACAUCAUGAAGAAGAAAACGAGCGAGGUUUCAGGUUUCAAGUGACUUUUAAUUUUAAAACACAGACUAGCAGAAAAGACCAUCAAUCAUAUACCAUAAAGUUUAUCUUCGACUGAAUGAGCACGACAGAUUGAGAGACUGCUAUGAGAUUAUACUUAUUGAUUGUUAAGCAGAAAUAGUUCACGAAAACUGAAGGUACAUUAGAAAAAUCUACUGAAAACCUUCAAAUUUUUGCACUUGUAAACUUAGGGUACAGCUGGAAAAGUUAAGCCCCCAUAUUCCCAAUUUUCUUUGCUUUGUAUUGCUAUUUCAAUAAUACUUUUCAGAAGCAAAUUUUUUUAUAACGGUAUUCAACAAUACCAAAGUGUCUUGCCAAUACUUCUUAUGCAGCCUAGUGGCAGAUUUAUGCUAACCAUACAGUUGUCUAAAUCCUUGGAAAGGACAGCUUUUACAUACACCAAGUUGGUUAGCAAAAACGAGACAAGUUAAUAACCAUAAUGCAAUGAUCUUAAGUUUUACUUGCUAUGCUUAAGAAAAAUUCUAUAUUCACAAUAUUCAAGCUGAAAGUUCUUAACAUAUUAACACCAAUCAUUGCUUCAUCCAGACCAAGCAUGGUGUCAAUUCACUACCUCGCUCUUGUCGAAAUGCAAAUUGCACAACUAGGCUUUCAUAACAUUACCUAAGGAUAACCAAAAUUUAUGAUCAUUCAGUUGGUAUCAACAAAUUUCGGAGUCCACUUUAAUAUUGGUGGUCCCAUCGCCUGACGCCUCUGUCCAUAACUAUAAGAAGUUAAAAUCUAUCAAGUCCAGUUACUUUACAUUACCGUGCCUUCACCUAGCUGAAUGUAAUUAAGUCUGUUCAGUAUUAACUAUUUUAAAUUCAGCAGUGUGUUGGAUUGACUGUCUUGGCCAUAAAUCUACAGCAAACAAUGAAAAUUUUUUUUGGUGCAAGGGUUACAUUGCCAUUUGCAAAAAUUGAUAUAUUUCACCUCAAUAAUGCACAACGGUAAGUUCAAAAUCUGAAUUUAAUUUUAAAGUUAUCGAGUCUUAUAACAUGUGUUUAUAACUUAGCUAUUUAAAAAUCUAGAUUGGGUAAAGAAACAUUUUAAGAAUAAUAUUCAUUUGUUGUUUAGCUACGACUAGAGUAACAUAAAACGCUAAUGCGUAUUCUUCGUUAGAGCUUUAAGAUGACAUUUCAACUAGCAUAUUGUAGUUAUAGGUACGUUACUUAUAAAAAUAAUUAAGAUUGUAAGCCUGUGUAAAACAUUUUAUGUGUAGCCCAUGAGUAAAAUAAAACCAUACCAUGCAAAGUCUGUCAUGAUGUUCUUGCCAUUGAAGCUGUAUAUCCGAGGGUUCUGCGGGAACUUGGCACCAUCGCCCAAGAAGAGGUCAUCCCAAGAGUUGAAGAGAACUUCACCCUGCAACAACAAUAACACCGGAAUAAGUAUUUGCAAAGUUAAAUUUAUAAAAACUACCUUUUUAAUAAUUAAUCAUUAUAAGUCCCUCCAAGACAAAGUUCACUUGUCACAGAUUAAUCUAGAAUAAGUUUGGAUUGCUGAAAUUUUCGUAAACUGUGACCAAAUGAAAAUGAAAGUAAAUAAAUUUCAAAAUGUGUCAAGUUGUAGAAGGUUCUUAUUAUAAACAACACUAGUGAUUUUAUCUACUGAUUGUAAUACGGUACUUAUAAAGAGCAUAUUUUUAAUUCCUAGUUUUGCCCAAAAUGGUAUAAUUCAUUUGGUAAAAAAUUGAAUUCUCUAGUCUAUCCUAGGACUGGUGGUAGAAGAAUUAGCAGGCCCAUAGAACCAGUAGUACCCACGUGUCUUGACUUGGACACUUGUGCUGUGACGUGACCCUAUUAGAUGAUGAUGGAGCAGUGAUGGAAUUAAAGGGUGGAGGAAAUGGAAGCACCCCUAUAAAACCCAAUGGGUCAAGGAAACGCCCACCACAUAUCACCCCCAGUAAAACAUCCGCUUGUUACAGAACUAAGAAUGGAAUCCAAGUCACCUUGGAGGGAGGCGAGUGAUGUAGCCACUUAAUCACCACAGUAUCACCAAGUUUCAUUAGGUUCUGGUCGCGCGCCGACAGGAAGGCGCGGAAGGUGCCCCUGAGGCCGGCGCGGUGCGCCUGGCGAUAGCAGUGGUAGUCGGCGCCGCGCAGGCCCGUCAUGUCGCCCGUCUGCGGCUCGUUCAGCGCCGCCAUCCGCAGCUGCCGGCAGGGGUCGCGCUCUACUUCCACCACCAACCACUCUGGACCACCGGCCCGCUGACUACCGACACUCGCGGGGACGCCCCGCCGAAACACAUGCCCUAUCUGGUGAUUAUUAACCAACACACAGUGUGUGUGUUUCGUUAUGCUCCGCGGGACUCGGAGCCACGGUGAAAUUCAGUGAUGUCAAAGCAAGCAAACACUGAAUAUUUAAUGUGUGCGUUAAAUAAACUAUUUUUUUUUCAGU